rnacentral:lncRNA from 1 species
GAGGGGUAGGUAAAUGGGUAUGUAUAGGGGUAGAUGUAGGGGUAGGUAUAAAGGUAGGUAAAUGGGUAGGUAUAGGGGUAGAUGUAGGGGUAGCUAUAGGGGUAUGUGUAGGGGUAGAUAUAGGGGUAGAUAUGAAGGGGUAGGUAUAAGGGGUAUGUAUAGGGGUAGGUAUAGGGGUAGGUAUAAGGGGUAUGUAUAGGGGUAUGUAUAGGGGUAGGUAUAAGGGUAGAUCUGGGGUAGGUAAAAGGUAGAUAUAGGGGCAGAUAUAAAGGUAGGUAUAAGGGUAGAUAUAGGGGUCGAUAUAAGGUUAGAUAUAAGGGUAGAUAUAAGGUUAGAUAUAGGGGUAGAUAUAAGGUUAGAUAUAGGGGUAGAUAUAAAGGUAGGUAUAAGGGUAGAUAUAGGGGUAGAUAUAAGGUUAGAUAUAGGGGUAGGUAAAAAAGGUAGGUAUAGCGGUAGGUAAUAGGGAUAGAUAUAAGGGUAGAUAUAGGGGUAGGUAUAAAGGUAGGUAAUAGGGGUAGAUAUAAGGGUAUAGAUAUAAGGGUAUUGAUUUGGGUAGAUAUAAG